UACGGAGGGUGCAAGCGUUAUCCGGAUUCACUGGGUUUAAAGGGUGCGUAGGUGGGUCUGUAAGUCAGUGGUGAAAAUCUCCGGGCUUAACCCGGAAACUGCCAUUGAUACUAUAGGUCUUGAAUUUUCUGGAGGUUAGCGGAAUAUGUCAUGUAGCGGUGAAAUGCUUAGAUAUGACAUAGAACACCAAUUGCGAAGGCAGCUAACUACAGGGAUAUUGACACUGAGGCACGAAAGCGUGGGGAUCAAACAGG
rnacentral:rRNA from 1 species